rnacentral:misc_RNA from 1 species
AAGUCGUAACAAGGUUUCCGUAGGUGAACCUGCGGAAGGAUCAUUCAUACAUUCAUAGUAACUAUGUGUUUUAUUUUAUUUAUUAUUUUCCCGUAUCGUAUUUGUUAUAUGUUUCAUCAGAUAACAAAUCAAUGAGAAAUGAAGGCUAUAAAUGAAAGUGAAAUUAUUGAGACAAAUUUUAUGUGUACUGUAUUCAGGGCGAUGUAUUUUCUCCUGAUUUAAUUUCUUAUAAUUUAAUCUAUAACGAAAUUUUAUUAUUAAACAAAUUAAUAUUUUGAUGUAAUUAAUAAAUUAAAAAAUUUAAAUAACAACUUUCAACAAUGGAUCUCUUGGCUCUC